GAUCAGUGCCCAGAAUCACAACUAUGCGGUAGACCCUGCGAGUCUUCCAGCUGGUGUUGAAGUAACACACAUCAACCUGAAUGAUAAUAGUUGUGCUGGUCUUGCCUGCCCCGAUUUAAACAUUUUGUCUCUUCAGUACCACCCAGAGUCAUCUCCUGGUCCCCACGACUCGGAUUCUGUUUUUGGGGAGUUUGUGAUGCUAAUGAAGCAAUAUAAAUUGAAUACUGGUGCUUAGCGCAUCUAACAUCGGGAGAUGCUGGAUCGUAAGAGGAGCUUUUAUAGCGAUAUUUGGCCAUGACAAGUGAGCAAAUCUCCCUUUGUUUCUGUUCUUCCAUCCUUUUUCAGGCAGGGAGAACCCACCUUCUAUAAGAUUCUCAAAUUGAGCGCUAGUUUUAUGUGGCACAAAUUUUACUUAAUUGUUUAGCAUGAAGCUGCACUUCCUAUAUAUUUGUUGUGUGACCAUCAGACAUAAAGUGAGUUGUAAGGUCCUUCAAUAAGUUGAAUAUUGCCACUUAUGGUGUCAUGUAGCAACAUUCAUU
rnacentral:misc_RNA from 1 species